CUCAAUAUCUUCAGUCUUGUCAUUGUGGAGAUAUUUACUGGAGCAAUGAUGCUUUUAGGUGGUGGCAUUGUUCUGACUUUCUUUUCAUAUGUUUAUGGCCAGUCCCUGACCUCCUCUGGUCCAGUGGUGAAGAGACCUGGAGAGUCAGUCACUCUGUCCUGCUCUGUGUCUGGGUUUUCCAUGAGCAGCUACUGGAUGUCCUGGAUCCGUGAGAAACCAGGAAAGGGACUGGAGUGGAUUGGAUAUAUUGAUGGUGGCACUGGCACAACAUUUGCCCAGUCUCUCCAGGGCCAGUUCUCCAUCACCAAAGACAGCAACACUCUGCACUUACAAGUGAAAAGCCUGAAAGCUGAGGACACAGCUGUUUAUUACUGUGCUCGAGGGACACAGACACACAAGGGCCUGCAGAGCUGUACAAAAACAACUCUGAAAUCUGUCACUACAUAGGGAACUGAGAUGUUA